UACGUAGGGUGCAAGCGUUGUCCGGAAUUAUUGGGCGUAAAGAGCUCGUAGGCGGUUUGUUGCGUCGGCUGUGAAAUCCCGAGGCUCAACCUCGGGUCUGCAGUCGAUACGAGCAAACUAGAGUGUUGCAGGGGAGACUGGAAUUCCAGGUGUAGCGGUGAAAUGCGUAGAUAUCUGGAGGAACACCGGUGGCGAAGGCGACGUCCUGGACCGGCAUGACGCUGAGGCGCGAAAGCCAGAGGAGCAAACGGGG
rnacentral:rRNA from 1 species